UGGGGAAUAUUGCGCAAUGGGGGGAACCCUGACGCAGCCAUGUCGCGUGGAUGAAGAAGGCCUUAGGGUUGUAAAGUUCUUUCGGUAUUGAGGAAGGUUGAUGUGUUAAUAGCACAUCAAAUUGACGUUAAAUACAGAAGAAGCACCGGCUAACUCCGUGCCAGCAGCCGCGGUAAUACGGAGGGUGCGAGCGUUAAUCGGAAUAACUGGGCGUAAAGGGCACGCAGGCGGUUAUUUAAGUGAGGUGUGAAAGCCCCGGGCUUAACCUGGGAAUUGCAUUUCAGACUGGGUAACUAGAGUACUUUAGGGAGGGGUAGAAUUCCACGUGUAGCGGUGAAAUGCGUAGAGAUGUGGAGGAAUACCGAAGGCGAAGGCAGCCCCUUGGGAAUGUACUGACGCUCAUGUGCGAAAGCGUGGGGAGCAAACAGGAUUAGAUACCCUGGUAGUCCACGCUGUAAACGCUGUCGAUUUGGGGGUUGGGGUUUAACUCUGGCGCCCGUAGCUAACGUGAUAAAUCGACCGCCUGGGGAGUACGGCCGCAAGGUUA
rnacentral:rRNA from 1 species